rnacentral:snRNA from 1 species
UUAGAAAUCCAUGCAUAUAUG